AAACUAACAAGGAUUCCCCUAGUAACGGCGAGUGAACCGGGAAGAGCUCAAAUUUGAAAUCUGGCGUCCUCAGGGCGUCCGAGUUGUAAUCUAUAGAGGCGUUUUCCGUGCCGGACCGUGUCCAAGUUCCUUGGAACAGGAUAUCAAAGAGGGUGACAAUCCCGUACUUGACACGACGACCGGUGCUCUGUGAUACGUCUUCUACGAGUCGAGUUGUUUGGGAAUGCAGCUCAAAAUGGGUGGUGAGUUCCAUCUAAAGCUAAAUAUUGGCGAGAGACCGAUAGCGAACAAGUACCGUGAGGGAAAGAUGAAAAGCACUUUGGAAAGAGAGUUAAACAGUACGUGAAAUUGUUGAAAGGGAAACGAUUGAAGUCAGUCGUGACCGAGAGGCUCAGCCGGUUCUGCCGGUGUAUUCCCCUCGGUCGGGUCAACAUCAGUUUUGUCCGGUGGAUAAGGGCGGUAGGAAGGUGGCACCCUCGGGUGUGUUAUAGCCUGCCGUCGCAUACAUCGGG
rnacentral:rRNA from 1 species